UACGUAGGGUCCGAGCGUUGUCCGGAAUUACUGGGCGUAAAGAGCUCGUAGGUGGUUUGUCGCGUUGUUCGUGAAAACUCACAGCUCAACUGUGGGCGUGCGGGCGAUACGGGCAGACUAGAGUACUGCAGGGGAGACUGGAAUUCCUGGUGUAGCGGUGGAAUGCGCAGAUAUCAGGAGGAACACCGGUGGCGAAGGCGGGUCACUGGACUGGUACUGACGCUGAGGCGCGAAAGCGUGGGGAGCAAACAGG
rnacentral:rRNA from 1 species